CUAACCAGCCAAUGGCAGGACAGAACGCUUACUGCUCAACCUUAUUUUUUUACGGACCUUGAGGUGUUCUAGGUGGCGUUGGUUGAAUUCAGCUUCCAUCCUCUCUACUGCUCUCUGUCCUGCCGCGCGGUUAAUAUGUCCACAGUCUAACAUAACUGUGAUAUGUCUGUUAGAGAACGUAUAUACACGCUCUCUAACCAGUAGCGUUCGCGGUGGAUCGUCGUGUAAUAGCAGCUUACAUAGUGACAGUGUACUGCUGUCGUCAUUUAUAUCUUUUCAGCUGGGGGGUAGAGUAAGCGAAGGUGUAAAGUGUUGUGAUUAUAGAGAACAUCUCGAAAUUAGCUAGAGGUUGAUUAGGUAAAUCAUCUAAAAAUGUUUCUAGGUGAACAGCUCAAAUCGAAAAUCAGAUUUUUACAGAAAGUUGUUGGAGACUGAUUGUUCAUGAAAUCACACAAUCAUUCCGGAGAUGACUAUCUAAAAGUUUUGAAAAGUGUGCAAUGACUUUCAUUGCGAACGCUGCACGCAAUGCAGCUGUAGAAACGAUGUUUGUUUUAAAUUUGACUGAUAAAAGAAAUUACUUUCUGUACAAUGCGUUAAGAAUUUGUUGAUCGUGAAGUAAAACGAGAAAGAUCUUGCUUUCACUCAAUACUGUGAUAACAGCAAAUCCAAGAAAGAUUUACUUAAGAAGAAGCGGUGAAGUGAAACAUAUGCUUUUGUAAAAAAGUAAGCUAGUAUCGUUCACGUAAAGACUGUAAUAACCCUUGUUUUUUUUUGUUUUAAAAUGUAGUAAGCCUGUUAUUGUCUCCGUAGUAAUGCCAAACUUUUUUAAAUAUGCGUUAGGCCUAUAUGUAGCGUAUAACAUGGGAAGUAAGAGCACGAAAACCGGAGUUGGUACAUUUAAGCGGUGUAUACCGUCUUCAUGGCGUUUCAAGAAAUUAAAAUUUUUGGAGGAAUACUAUAUGCCACAGACAAGGAAAAAGUACACAUGUACUUGUCACAGAAGAAAGCUACGGUAGACAAGUGUGUUGUAUGAAAGUGUUCCUGCAGCCUCUUCCACCUUUAAUAUUGCAGAAGUCCAAGAAGAAGAUUGUGGGGAGCCUCUGGACAUUGAAAGAAGUGUUUGUGUGUGUGCCACAUGAUAUGCUACUGCCAGGUCCAGUGUCAUACCAGAUUCAAAGGUUGCUUCGGGUCAUCCAUAAUUUGAAGUCAACUACUAGCCCUCUGCAGAAUACUGGUGUCUACAAGAUUUCAUGUGACACUUGCGGUGCCUAUUAUAUUGGUCAAACAGGACGUGCCUUUUCAAUUUGCUGUAAAGAACAUUUUCUGAGGGAAAACGGUUCGUGUGCCCCUAAUUCUUCUUAAGCUAAUGUGCAAGUGUGUCUUAAUUGUUCCCGUCUGCAACGUAAUGUGUAAUCUUUAUGGUGAGUAGCACUCUUUUCUGUACAUUGUUGGAAUACCAACCUGGAGUUCCUAUUGUUUGAAAUAAUUACAGAAGUUAUUUAUGAAAAGCUAAACAAUAAAAUGUUGUUAAAAUUGAA